UCUUUUGAGUACCUUCGUUUCCUCGGCGGGUCCGCCCGCCGAUUGGACAAUUUAAACCAUUUGCAGUUGCAAUCAGCGUCUGAAAAAAACUUAAUAGUUACAACUUUCAACAACGGAUCUCUUGGUUCUGGCAUCGAUGAAGAACGCAGCGAAAUGCGAUAAGUAGUGUGAAUUGCAGAAUUCAGUGAAUCAUCGAAUCUUUGAACGCACAUUGCGCCCCUUGGUAUUCCAUGGGGCAUGCCUGUUCGAGCGUCAUUUGUACCUUCAAGCUUUGCUUGGUGUUGGGUGUUUGUCUCGCCUCUGCGCGCAGACUCGCCUCAAAACAAUUGGCAGCCGGCGUAUUGAUUUCGGAGCGCAGUACAUCUCGCGCUCUGCACUCAGAACGACGACGUCCAAAAGUACAUUUUUACACUCUUGACCUCGGAUCAGGUAGGGAUACCCGCUGAACUUAAGCAUA
rnacentral:rRNA from 1 species